ensembl:lncRNA
AUAAUGUUAAUACACAUAACCAACCUGUUACUUUAUUCAUCCAUCCUUUUUGCAUCAUUACCCUCAAUCCAUUUCUCUCUCUCUCUCUCUCUCUCUCUCUCUCUCUUUCACGCAUGCACACACACACACACACACACACACACAGAGACACGCAAUCCUCACUUUUUCUCAUUAACCAUCAUUGCCCCAUCUAUUUCCCCAGUGACGGCUGCAGCGGCACCUUCGAUAAGCCAUCUCCAUGGAAACAGCCCAGCAACAGGCUGGCCCCUCAUGGCCAAUGAGAGCCUGAGGUGUCUCGGUUUCUCCUCCAAUGGUGGUGGGGGGCUGCUGAGCUCAAGAUCCUAUAAAAAAUAGGCUUCUCACCCAUUCUUGGGUUGCAACCGACCAGCUGAGAUGCAACUGCUCCAGAGAGUUUCACCAGUCUGAUGAACCCUAGA